AGUAAGUCCCAGAAGAUUACAAUAUGCAUCGAUUGGAGUUAUGUUCUGUUUGAAGAUAGUUCACCACUAGCUUGAAUGUUUGAAUAAGAAGUUUCUUUUGGCACUUUAGAUAGUUUAAAAUCAAUGCAUGUAAUUAGAGUGUGAUCUUUUGCUUGGGACUGUAUUAAUUAAGAUGCAAUCAUAAGGCUGCUCUUUGCUUUGGAUUAAUAGUAGAAAAAAUUGAUAACGUCAUAUGAAUUUCUGUAUAAAUGUUGCACAAUAACUCAUAUUUAUUUCUUCUCUUUUCAAAUGAAGAUUCUGUUCUCUGAAUUUUUUGGAUUCCUUUAGGUGGCUCCACCUCCAAUUCCUGG
rnacentral:misc_RNA from 1 species